rnacentral:rRNA from 1 species
AGAGUUUGAUCCUGGCUCAGAACGAACGCUGGCGGCAGGCUUAACACAUGCAAGUCGAACGGUUGUAGCAAUACAGCAGUGGCAGACGGGUGAGUAACACGUGGGAACCUUCCUAGGGGUACGGAACAACUCAGGGAAACUUGAGCUAAUACCGUAUACGUCCGUAAGGAGAAAGAUUCAUCGCCCCUAGACGGGCCCGCGUAGGAUUAGGUAGUUGGUGAGGUAACGGCUCACCAAGCCUACGAUCCUUAGCUGAUCUGAGAGGAUGAUCAGCCACACUGGGACUGAGACACGGCCCAGACUCCUACGGGAGGCAGCAGUGGGGAAUCUUGGACAAUGGGCGCAAGCCUGAUCCAGCCAUGCCGCGUGAGUGAAGAAGGCCUUCGGGUUGUAAAGCUCUUUUACCAGGGACGAUAAUGACGGUACCUGAGAAUAGC